rnacentral:tRNA from 1 species
CGGGGUGUGGCUCAGCUGGUAGAGCACUAGACUGGGGGUCUAGGGGCCGCGCGUUCAAGUCGCGUCACUCCGA